rnacentral:rRNA from 1 species
GGGUUGUGAGGUUAAGCGACUAAGCGUACACGGUGGAUGCCCUGGCAGUCAGAGGCGAUGAAGGACGUGCUAAUCUGCGAAAAGCGUCGGUAAGGUGAUAUGAACCGUUAUAACCGGCGAUGUCCGAAUGGGGAAACCCAGUGUGAUUCGUCACACUAUCGUUAACUGAAUACAUAGGUUAACGAGGCGAACCGGGGGAACUGAAACAUCUAAGUACCCCGAGGAAAAGAAAUCAACCGAGAUUCCCCCAGUAGCGGCGAGCGAACGGGGAGCAGCCCAGAGUCUGAAUCAGCUUGUGUGUUAGUGGAACGGUCUGGAAAGUCCGACGGUACAGGGUGAUAGUCCCGUACACCAAAAUGCACAGGUUGUGAACUCGAAGAGUAGGGCGGGACACGUGGUAUCCUGUCUGAAUAUGGGGGGACCAUCCUCCAAGGCUAAAUACUCCUGACUGACCGAUAGUGAACCAGUACCGUGAGGGAAAGGCGAAAAGAACCCCGGCGAGGGGAGUGAAAAAGAACCUGAAACCGUGUACGUACAAGCAGUGGGAGCACCUUCGGGUGUGACUGCGUACCUUUUGUAUAAUGGGUCAGCGACUUAUAUUCUGUAGCAAGGUUAACCGUAUAGGGGAGCCGCAGGGAAACCGAGUCUUAACUGGGCGUUAAGUUGCAGGGUAUAGACCCGAAACCCGGUGAUCUAGCCAUGGGCAGGUUGAAGGUUGGGUAACACUAACUGGAGGACCGAACCGACUAAUGUUGAAAAAUUAGCGGAUGACUUGUGGCUGGGGGUGAAAGGCCAAUCAAACCGGGAGAUAGCUGGUUCUCCCCGAAAGCUAUUUAGGUAGCGCCUCGUGAACUCAUCUUCGGGGGUAGAGCACUGUUUCGGCUAGGGGGUCAUCCCGACUUACCAACCCGAUGCAAACUACGAAUACCGAAGAAUGUUAUCACGGGAGACACACGGCGGGUGCUAACGUCCGUCGUGAAGAGGGAAACAACCCAGACCGCCAGCUAAGGUCCCAAAGUCAUGGUUAAGUGGGAAACGAUGUGGGAAGGCACAGACAGCCAGGAUGUUGGCUUAGAAGCAGCCAUCAUUUAAAGAAAGCGUAAUAGCUCACUGGUCGAGUCGGCCUGCGCGGAAGAUGUAACGGGGCUAAACCAUGCACCGAAGCUGCGGCAGCGACACUAUGUGUUGUUGGGUAGGGGAGCGUUCUGUAAGCCUGCGAAGGUGACCUGUGAGGGUUGCUGGAGGUAUCAGAAGUGCGAAUGCUGACAUAAGUAACGAUAAAGCGGGUGAAAAGCCCGCUCGCCGGAAGACCAAGGGUUCCUGUCCAACGUUAAUCGGGGCAGGGUGAGUCGACCCCUAAGGCGAGGCCGAAAGGCGUAGUCGAUGGGAAACAGGUUAAUAUUCCUGUACUUGGUGUUACUGCGAAGGGGGGACGGAGAAGGCUAUGUUAGCCGGGCGACGGUUGUCCCGGUUUAAGCAUGUAGGCUGAUUAUCCAGGCAAAUCCGGAUAAUCAAGGCUGAGGUGUGAUGACGAGGCACUACGGUGCUGAAGUAACAAAUGCCCUGCUUCCAGGAAAAGCCUCUAAGCAUCAGGUAACAUCAAAUCGUACCCCAAACCGACACAGGUGGUCAGGUAGAGAAUACCAAGGCGCUUGAGAGAACUCGGGUGAAGGAACUAGGCAAAAUGGUGCCGUAACUUCGGGAGAAGGCACGCUGGUGUGUAGGUGAAGUCCCUGCGGAUGGAGCUGAGACCAGUCGAAGAUACCAGCUGGCUGCAACUGUUUAUUAAAAACACAGCACUGUGCAAACACGAAAGUGGACGUAUACGGUGUGACGCCUGCCCGGUGCCGGAAGGUUAAUUGAUGGGGUUAUCCGUAAGGAGAAGCUCUUGAUCGAAGCCCCGGUAAACGGCGGCCGUAACUAUAACGGUCCUAAGGUAGCGAAAUUCCUUGUCGGGUAAGUUCCGACCUGCACGAAUGGCGUAAUGAUGGCCAGGCUGUCUCCACCCGAGACUCAGUGAAAUUGAACUCGCUGUGAAGAUGCAGUGUACCCGCGGCAAGACGGAAAGACCCCGUGAACCUUUACUAUAGCUUGACACUGAACAUUGAGCCUUGAUGUGUAGGAUAGGUGGGAGGCUUUGAAGCGUGGACGCCAGUCUGCGUGGAGCCAACCUUGAAAUACCACCCUUUAAUGUUUGAUGUUCUAACGUUGGCCCCUGACCGGGGUUGCGGACAGUGUCUGGUGGGUAGUUUGACUGGGGCGGUCUCCUCCCAAAGCGUAACGGAGGAGCACGAAGGUUAGCUAAUCCUGGUCGGACAUCAGGAGGUUAGUGCAAUGGCAUAAGCUAGCUUGACUGCGAGCGUGACGGCGCGAGCAGGUGCGAAAGCAGGUCAUAGUGAUCCGGUGGUUCUGAAUGGAAGGGCCAUCGCUCAACGGAUAAAAGGUACUCCGGGGAUAACAGGCUGAUACCGCCCAAGAGUUCAUAUCGACGGCGGUGUUUGGCACCUCGAUGUCGGCUCAUCACAUCCUGGGGCUGAAGUAGGUCCCAAGGGUAUGGCUGUUCGCCAUUUAAAGUGGUACGCGAGCUGGGUUUAGAACGUCGUGAGACAGUUCGGUCCCUAUCUGCCGUGGGCGCUGGAGAAUUGAGGGGGGCUGCUCCUAGUACGAGAGGACCGGAGUGGACGCAUCACUGGUGUUCGGGUUGUCAUGCCAAUGGCACUGCCCGGUAGCUAAAUGCGGAAGAGAUAAGUGCUGAAAGCAUCUAAGCACGAAACUUGCCCCGAGAUGAGUUCUCCCUGAGACUUUAAGUCUCCUGAAGGAACGUUGAAGACGACGACGUUGAUAGGCCGGGUGUGUAAGCGCAGCGAUGCGUUGAGCUAACCGGUACUAAUGAACCGUGAGGCUUAACCUUACAACGCCGAAG